UUGGUAGGGAAAACAUUGAUGUUUAACAGAAAUUCACUCUUUUACUUGAAGGUUGGAGACUACAUGAGACUUUGACAGAUGGCGGAAAACCCUUCUCAACUGGUACGAAGCCGGUAAAUAGAUGGCCAUAAAACAGUGACCGCUGAUUCGCGUCGAGUUCUUUCUUGCAUAACGUAGAGAAAUGUCUGGGACUUAGCCGAGGGCAACUGGAGAAGGGUUGUUGAUGGCAAAACAGGUUGGAGACUACAUGAGACUUUGACAGAUGGCAGGAAACCCUUCUCAACUGGUACGAAGCCGGUAAACAGAUGGCCAUAAAACAGUGACCGCUGAUUUGCGUCGAGUUCUUUCUUGCAUAACGUAUGACCCCACUUUUUUAUUGUUUAAAUCAUUGC